GCCUUCGAGGUGUAGUAGUGAGCACACUCGGCGCAUAUUCGAGAGGUCCGUGGUUCGAGUCCCGGCGAGAGCA
rnacentral:tRNA from 1 species